AGCAAAUGUUCAUUAAGGGGGUAAUUAAGCUAAAAAUCUGAAAACAGAUGACUAAACAAAAGAGUGGAGGAAAAACUCUAAACUGGGAACAGAAGCAAAAAAACAAACAACAUAAAAUUAAUUAACAGAAAAAUGAAUAACAUAGUAAAAGGCACGAGAAGCAGCAUAAGACGCAAGAAGCUGAGCACAAGCAGCGAGUUUAAAAACUCCAGAAUGUAGAACUAUGGAACGAGAAGCUGCAGAUUUUUCGGUACCACCAUGCGAAGGAUAAUCCUCUUCAGGGGCCAUAACCUUAAUGAUGAUCCUCUGUCCCUUCUCGCAGUGCCCAGAAACUCCACUAACGAAGUAGAAAGCCCCUGAAUGGUCAAGCUUGUACACUGUAUUGCCUGUGUUGGAGAAGAAACUGGGGUGACUAGAGUUGCACUUCUUGUACUCUUCUUCGGUUACUUCCAUGACAGAAUCCUUCUUGUACCUAAAUCGGACGGUGUCGCCGACUUGGAAGCGGUUCUCUGAGGCCCAGUCGUUGUAAAUUCUGGUGUCAUUGGCAGGAGGGACAAACCAACCUCUAUUACCGCCAACUUGGUACUCGAAGGAAGAAACAGAGAAGCAGUGAAGAGAAGAGAAGAUGGUGAAGAGAAGAAGAAUGAGCCUGGUGGGAGUCAUCGCGUGAAACAGGAAGCAAUUUCUAUAUCUUUCUUUUGCUCUUAAGGUAAACGAAAGUGGGAAGAGCUAUGGGUUUAAUAAUGGCGUUAAACUGUUAAUGGCAGUUAUAUGAGAGUGAAGAGUGGAGAAUGAAGAUGGAGAUAGUGGGGGGUAACCGUUUUCUUUGGCCGGGUCUGCUCCUUUUCAUCCACACGCAUAUCCAACUAAAAUCAACUAAUCUUUUCUUUUCUUUUUUUUUUU
rnacentral:misc_RNA from 1 species